UACAGAGGGUGCAAGCGUUAAUCGGAUUACUGGGCGUAAAGGGCGCGUAGGUUGUUAUUUAAGUGAGAUGUGAAAUCCCCGGGCUUAACCUGGGAACUGCAUCUUAUACUGGGUAACUGGAGUGCAAUAGAGGGUAGUGGAAUUUCCGGUGUAGCGGUGAAAUGCGUAGAUAUCGGAAGGAACACCAGUGGCGAAGGCGGCUACCUGGAUUGACACUGACACUGAGGCGCGAGAGCGUGGGGAGCAAACAGG
rnacentral:rRNA from 1 species